GAGAGAGGGAGUCUUGCUUCCUUGAUCGAGUGGCGAACGGGUGAGUAACGCGUGAGGAACCUGCCUCAAAGAGGGGGACAACAGUUGGAAACGACUGCUAAUACCGCAUAAGCCCACGACCCGGCAUCGGGAAGAGGGAAAAGGAGCAAUCCGCUUUGAGAUGGCCUCGCGUCCGAUUAGCUAGUUGGUGAGGUAACGGCCCACCAAGGCGACGAUCGGUAGCCGGACUGAGAGGUUGAACGGCCACAUUGGGACUGAGACACGGCCCAGACUCCUACGGGAGGCAGCAGUGGGGAAUAUUGCACAAUGGGGGAAACCCUGAUGCAGCGACGCCGCGUGGAGGAAGAAGGUCUUCGGAUUGUAAACUCCUGUUGUUGAGGAAGAUAAUGACGGUACUCAACAAGGAAGUGACGGCUAACUACGUGCCAGCAGCCGCGGUAAAACGUAGGUCACAAGCGUUGUCCGGAUUACUGGGUGUAAAGGGAGCGCAGGCGGGCGAUCAGUNNGGAAGUGAAAUCCAUGGGCUCAACCCAUGAACUGCUUUCAAAACUGGUCGUCUUGAGUAGUGCAGAGGUAGGCGGAAUUCCCGGUGUAGCGGUGGAAUGCGUAGAUAUCGGGAGGAACACCAGUGGCGAAGGCGGCCUACUGGGCACCAACUGACGCUGAGGCUCGAAGGUGUGGGUAGCAAACAGGAUUAGAUACCCUGGUAGUCCACACCGUAAACGAUGAUUACUAGGUGUUGGGAGAUUGACCCUCUCAGUGCCGCAGUUAACACAAUAAGUAAUCCACCUGGGGAGUACGACCGCAAGGUUGAAACUCAAAGGAAUUGACGGGGGCCCGCACAAGCAGUGGAGUAUGUGGUUUAAUUCGACGCAACGCGAAGAACCUUACCAAGUCUUGACAUCCCUUGACGAUGCUGGAAACAGUAUUUCUCUUCGGAGCAAGGAGACAGGUGGUGCAUGGUUGUCGUCAGCUCGUGUCGUGAGAUGUUGGGUUAAGUCCCGCAACGAGCGCAACCCUUAUGGUCAGUUACUACGCAAGAGGACUCUGGCCAGACUGCCGUUGACAAAACGGAGGAAGGUGGGGAUGACGUCAAAUCAUCAUGCCCUUUAUGACUUGGGCUACACACGUGCUACAAUGGCGUUAAACAAAGAGAAGCAAGACCGCGAGGUGGAGCAAAACUCAGAAACAACGUCCCAGUUCGGACUGCAGGCUGCAACUCGCCUGCACGAAGUCGGAAUUGCUAGUAAUCGUGGAUCAGCAUGCCACGGUGAAUACGUUCCCGGGCCU
rnacentral:rRNA from 1 species